rnacentral:rRNA from 1 species
CCUACGGGGGGCUGCAGUGGGGAAUAUUGGACAAUGGGCGAAAGCCUGAUCCAGCCAUGCCGCGUGUGUGAAGAAGGCCUUCGGGUUGUAAAGCACUUUCAGUGGGGAAGAAAGCCUUGGGGCUAAUACCCUCGAGGAAGGACAUCACCCACAGAAGAAGCACCGGCUAACUCCGUGCCAGCAGCCGCGGUAAUACGGGAGGGUGCGAGCGUUAAUCGGAAUUACUGGGCGUAAAGCGCGCGUAGGCGGUCUGAUAAGCCGGUUGUGAAAGCCCCGGGCUCAACCUGGGAACGGCAUCCGGAACUGUCAGGCUAGAGUGCAGGAGAGGAAGGUAGAAUUCCCGGUGUAGCGGUGAAAUGCGUAGAGAUCGGGAGGAAUACCAGUGGCGAAGGCGGUCUUCUGGACUGACACUGACGCUGAGGUGCGAAAGCGUGGGUAGCAAACAGGAUUAGAUACCCCAGUAGUC